GGUUAGUUGUUAUUUUGAGCUUCUUUGUUUUGUGUUAAUUUAGCUUUUUGUUUGAAUCAUUGAAUUUAUCUUUACAUGUUAUAAAAGUAUGAUGGACUUAUGUACCAUUGAAUUUUGCUAGGGCAUGUUGGCUAAAUUUGAAAAAUGUUUGAAUUCUGUUCAACUUAUAUAGCAUUGCUUUAUAACAAAAUUUUCUUUUUUCCCAUGAACUUUGAAUCAGUUUAUUGUUUGGACUCUGUUUUGAGAUUUUUGGCCACCUGAUGACCAAAUUAAUGCCACAAAGAGAGAAAGAGAGAGAGAGAACAAGAACUUGGUAUCUUGGUUACAAUCCUAUUAGACCAGUAUAAAUUCUAAUCUUAUCGGCUGGUAUGAAUUUUGAGUACCUGCCUAUCUGAUCAUGGAAAAUGUGCAUAUGGAAUUGGAAGAAUUUACAAUGACGAUAGCUUUGUAUCAGGGGAAGGUGAAAAAUGAUACCCAGGACAAUCUUAAGAGGAAAACCAAAGUAUUGGUAGAAAUGAAACAUAGAAACCUUCCAUAUGCUCUGAAAUAAAUGCAAACCCAUCAGCCAAACAUUUGCAAAAGAACACCUGAACCUGUUGAAGCCAAUCUCCACAGUGGGACCAUCAUUAAGCAAAUCUCAUGAAAUGCUGGCUUCUCAGACCUUUAUACUCAUCAUCCUCACGAUUUUCAAGAGAUAUUAAAGAACAGGGUAACAAACUCCACCAAGCCCAGUUCAGUAUUCUGGAAUUCCCUGUUCAAUUUUGGUAACAUAACUUCAAUUUAUGACCUAGAGUUACGAUAAAGGAGAGGUCAGCUUGUGGAAACUUAUCUUUGUACUUUGAAGCUGACUGGGUUGAACCAUGUGUAUAGGUCUAAGGGUAAGCAAAAGUGUGAGAAUCAAGAGGAAAUUGAAAUAAUAUGAAGGUAUUUUUUAUCCUCAAGCAACUAACAGAACAGCAGAAUAUUGGAAUUUAAGGCUGCUUAUGUGUCCUGGAAAAAUCAACCUUUUGGUGAUGGGAGCUCUAUUCCAGCGGUGAUCUUUCUUAUAACUUAUCAGAUUAAAACAAAAGAGAGAUGUUUGGAGAGGGAAGCAACCCCAAUAUGUUGGUAGAUCAUGAAUGUGGUGGUUGUGUCAUUUCAUGGGGGAUGCAUAUGAAUUUUGGUUCUUCUUUCUUUUUUGUUUUGGUUUUUUAUUUUUUUCCUUUUAAUUUGGGCAUUUAUCGUACUUUUUGUUGUAUUUGCCAUCUUUUUUUCACUCUAUCAAAUUCUGCAAUUUUUACUGAUUUCUUUACUGUCCCAGAGAUGUUGCAUAAAUUAUGAAGAGAAACAUUCAUGCCAACUGUUAAUAAUCGUAGCUCUUAAAAGAAUUUCUCUGGAGGCCCAAGUGCACAUAGCCAAGUCAAAGAUUCUUUUAUGGUUGGCAAAACCAUAAAAGUGACACUUUGUCAUGUCUUGCCCAUUGGGUGCCCAUGAAACAUUAUACUGUUUUGGUGACCAUGGAGACACCCUCAUAUUCCACUAAAUGCCUUGCUUCAGACCAUACCAUAUAAUAUAUUGUAUUACUUUUUCCAUCUUGAUACACUUAUCAUGCCAUCAGAUUGUCUGUAGUAAUUGCUUCAAAGCCAUCCUGACAUUGCUUGGUCUUAAUGACAAAGAUUUUGGUAACUACCACGUAUAUAUGGGCAAAAGGAUGCUUAUAUCUCAUGAAAAUCAGUUAACGUGGACUAGGUAGAUCAUACAAGAUCUCCUAAACAUCCAAACAAUUGGCCAAGUAACCCAAAAUGGAUAUGUUGUUUGAAGAGUGUGUAAUGGCUAAUGGCCUGCUGCUUGGUGAGCCAGAUCCUUUGCUGUGGGUAUACAAGAAACUCACUCUCCAAAGCUGAAAGAGAUUACAGCAAUGAAAUGCCCCCAAGGUUGGGAACAAAAGCUUGUGAAUAUUAGUCUCAAUUGUUGUUUUAGAGUGGUAUGUCUCCUCCCAAAGGCGGGACAUUGCAAAGCAGGUGAUCACUGUCUUGUCUAUCAUCCUAGCUUUUCUCCAUGAUAGUCAAAUUCUAAUUGUAAGAGCUCUUGGCUAUGUUUUCUUUUUCUUUUCAAAGGAAAAAUUAGCUUUCUUGUCCUGCUAACAGGAGUCAAGUAUAUUGAGUUUCUUAAGCAGGUGAGUGAAGUUUUUAUACAACAUCCAUCACCAUCCUUGGGUGAUUUUGUUUGCUGAGGCCAGCACAAAUUUAUGAUCCUUUGUACAGGGAUGUUGUUGGAAGUGCAAAUUAUGUGGCUCCAGAGGUGUUGCGGCGGAACAAUGGAAAAGAGAUUGAUGUCUGGAGUGCUGGAGUCAUUUUAUAUGUUCUUCUAAGUGGGACACCUCCAUUUUGGGGUGGUAAGUGAAAUUCGUUCCAUGGAGAAAUUCGUAAUUUCCAUUGUGAAAAAUCUAAAAAUUAUGGGUCAUGUGGAUCUUGGGACAGUCUAUCAACAAAAGUGGUACCCCAUUGAGAACUGGCAAAUAGUCUUUUAAUUACCAUUCUGUACUUUUUUUCUGGUUCAACUCUUCUACGGUUUGCACAACUGCCAGCCAGUUGAUCACAGCAUGAGACAUCAUUUUGUGGGUGUUGUUUCUUCCAUUUCACUAAGAAGCUGAAGUGUUAGUUCGCUUUUUUAAUUUUUCAA